CAAUAGCGUAUAUUAAAGUUGUUGCGGUUAAAAAGCUCGUAGUUGGAGUUCUGCCAGGUGACGCUCGUCCGCCCAAGUGGUGUGUACAGGGCGUGCAUCUGGCCCUUUCAAGGGGAACGUGUCUGCACUUUACUGUGUGGUGCGAGAUCCUUGACUUUUACUUUGAGGAAAUCAGAGUGUUCCAAGCAGGCUCUCGUCGUGUAUAGCUCAGCAUGGAAUAAUAGCAUUGGACUUCGUUUCUAAGCUGUUGGUUGCAAGAAGCGAGGUAAUGAUGAAGAGGGAUAGUUGGGGGCAUUCGUAUUUAACUGCCAGAGGUGAAAUUCUUGGAUUUGUUAAAGACGGACUACUGCGAAAGCAUCUGCCAUGGAUGUUUUCAUUGA
rnacentral:rRNA from 1 species